GGUUGUGGCUCAGUGGUAGAGCACCUGCUUAGCAUGUGUGAGGCACUGGGUUCAAUCCUCAGCACCA
rnacentral:tRNA from 1 species